CUUAAUGGAAAUUUGGGACUAAACUAGCACAGAGACAAGAGUAAAUUAAUAUAAAACUGUCAGCUGAGUGAAGGGAUUCAGUCAGGGAUCCAGUUCAGGAAAAAGUCCAAAAUUCCUACUAUGUGAAAAUGGUGAAAUUAGUGUCACUUACAUUCACCCUGUUCCUUCUCUUCAGGUUCUGAAAGUUCAUCAUCACAUGUAUGUGGACACAAAAGAAAUGCCCAUUUGGAAUUAAGUUAAUGCAGAAGUUCUGACAGCUGAUAAACUGUGUGGCUUUAUACCCCAGGAAACCUGAAAGUGGAAAGCUGGCAAGAAACAGAUGUGCUCUUGCUAGGAUAUCAUUCUCCAUCCCAAAUGGACAAUACAAACAUACAAAAAAAAGCAAGAGGCUGUCAUGACACAUGGAGAACUUGGUAAACGACAUGCAGAAGCUCUCUUCAGAAAGGAGGCAGGCAGCAGCUUUCCAGGUUGGUGCCUUUGCUGCGUGCAGCAGCUGCCCCUCUUUUUCCCCACUGAGACACCUGAUUGCAGCCCCAACCUCAGCAGCAGGACAGACAUCUGAGCAUCUCAGGUGAGCUGUGGGGUCUGUGGUGGGUGCACUUAGGCUGUCAUUAGUAAAUUAUUUAUGUCAACAAAAUUCUGUCAGGUACAAACAGAAAAAAGGCUAAAAAAUGAAAAGUCAAUGCUUCUUGUUAGAGACCCACAAAACAUGAAUUUUGGUUUCAGUUCAGCUUUUGGGUUUCAGAACCAUGCCUAAUGACCUGAAUAAUGCAUUAACUUUUGCCCUGUAGGUAGAUCUAAAAUCCAAACUUGCUACUCAGGAGGAAGCACUGCAACUGAAAAAUCGAGAUACUGAAGCUUUGAUUGCCAUGAUAGGGUUUCAGACUGAGAAACUGAGCCAAGAAAAGGCCAUUGCAGAUGCAGACGAGCUAAAGGUGUAUUGUGAGAGAGAACCAAAAUAUUGUGUGCUGGCUCAGGCUAACACUGAAUUAGCAGCAGCUACAGGAAAACUAGAAGUCAGCAGGAAAAAGUUUCUUUCCAAAAACCUGUUGGAGACAGUCCAUUGA
rnacentral:lncRNA from 1 species